UUUACAUCCUUGAGUGGUUGAGCCAUCCUUCGAUUUACACAGAUAAGGCGUUUGAGGAUCUUUUAAGAACAUUCAGUUCAUAAAUUGUUGGAUAUUUUCAUAUUUAUGUAUUUGAUGCUGAGCCCAAGCAGCUUUCUUCACAACUGUCCCAGCCAUCAAGUUGGUUUUACUUCAGCCUUUUGUUCCAACCGAAGUUCUCUACUUCGGUUUGGAGCAUACAGGAACUUCAACAGCGUCUCUUUCCCUUCAUGUUCGAUGACUAACCAACAAAAUGUUCGGAGCAUGACUUGUUGCGCAUCAACGGAAAACGAUGUUUCACACAGAUUAGAGAACAUUUUUGUGUGUAGAGUAAUGAAGCUAGGAUUUCUAACCUUACAAACAUCCAUUCCCUGUUUAAUCUUCAAAAAC